UACGGGGGGGGCAAGCGUUGUUCGGAAUUACUGGGCGUAAAGGGCUCGUAGGCGGCCAACUAAGUCAGACGUGAAAUCCCCAGGCUCAACCUGGGAACUGCGUCUGAUACUGGAUGGCUUGAAUUCGGGAGAGGGAUGCGGAAUUCCAGGUGUAGCGGUGAAAUGCGUAGAUAUCUGGAGGAACACCGGUGGCGAAGGCGGCAUCCUGGACCAACACUGACGCUGAGGAGCGAAAGCCAGGGGAGCAAACGGG
rnacentral:rRNA from 1 species